ensembl:lncRNA
UUUUUUUUCUUUUUUUGCUUUUUAGGGUCACACCUGUAGCAUAUGGAAGUUCCCAGGCUAGGGGUUGAAUUGGAGCUGCAGCUGCCGGCCUGCACCACAGCCACAGCAAUGUGGGAUCCGAGCUGCAUCUGUGACAGCACAGUUUGGGGCGACAUAGGAUCCUUAACCCAUAUGAGCAAGGCCAGGGAUCAAACCUGCAUCCUCGUGGAUACUAGUUGGGUUCUCAAACUGCUGAGCCACAGUGGGAACUCCGAGGUUGGUUAUCUUAAGAUAAAGUUAUUUAGAAAUCAACACAGCACUUCUGUUCUUUCCCUGAGAUUCUAAGGAUCAGAAAUCUAUACUUUGGAAACCUGGUUUGAGUAUUUUUGUUGUUGAUGGGUUUUUUUGUGUUUUGUUUUGUUUUAAUGAUCUGGAGUCANAUCCUUGCUUCCCUGGAGAUCAAUCUUAGAGAUAGUAAAAAGCAUAGGGCAAAAAGUCACAGACUUACCCUACCUACGUUGUCAUCUGGGACUCCAAAUCCAUUUCCAUCAGGUCCAGUCCCAUUUCUGAGGUGGCCUAUAGUCUCUCCUCCAGGCCCUGGAUGGAUCACAGGGAUGGGUCCUUAUCCACGCAUCUGGCCGGGCAUCAUGCAAGGCUAGUCACUGGUCACUGUGACCAAUGAUUCAAUAUUUCUCCCUGACACCGGGAGAUUCUAGGUGUCUGAUUUGCACAUCACCAUGUUGCAUCACACUUGGGUGCUCACACUUGGGUGGCUGCAGGCCUGGACCCGAAGGCUUGGCUCCUCCACUUGUACCAACAUGGCUAUUUUCAGACGCCAAAGGAAAGUGUCCAAUCAGGUAGCAGCCUCCAGCAUCUCCCUAUGGUUCUACAUUUACAAUCUCUGACGUUAUGUGAUUGGUCAACCCCCCCAUGUUUGGCCUGUAAUGUACUACAGUGUGUCCUUGGGCACUGGGCUGCUGUUCUUGUCACACUUAACUUUAUUUCAUUAAUGGAAGUCUAUAAAUCUAUUCCCCUUCACCCUUCGAAGGGAAGAAAUAUUUAUUGUCUACUAUGCAAGUGCCCUCAAUGUAGUUUACCUCAUUUUUCUCAAAGAAGCCUUCUACAGUAGUUUUUAUUGUAGUUUUAUAUAUCAUUUGGUCCUCUCUCUCUUUAACUUGAGCCUUAACACCUGAUCUUGCUUCUGGACCAACCAGAUGCAUAGUCCCUGCUAUAAAGGAAAACCAGCGCUAAUGACAUGGCUUUAUUAACAUCAGCUAGAAAUGGCCAAAUGGGAUAAUUAAUCUUAUUCUCCAUUUAUUGCGAAAAAGAAGUGCUUAGAAUCAACUCACCCAAACCCAAAUCAUUAUCUUUGGCAUAUGUCAUCUAACAUUUAACUGGAUUUUGUCAAACAACUCCAUAUAGUACAACCAUACACCAGUUACCUUGGGUAUAUAUUCUCUUCUCUAAUAAGAUUACAUUGAAGUAUCUACCAGUUAGCUAAACUAUUUAAAUUUAAACAUUUUAGGAAUGCUUUAUUGAGAUUGUUAAAUGCUCACAGAAUGCAAAUACCAGCUUUAAAAAUUUUCCUGGCUAAAAUUAUUAGGGCCAGAGGCUGUCCACUAAACUCUGUAUAGCAAGGUACCAGUAAUUGAAUUCUGAGAAAAAUAUUAGCUCAGCCCACAUCCCUGGGGAGUCUUCUAUAAUUAAGACAUAUCUCCUGACUAGAUUCUUUAACUGGAAAAAAAAAUGUUAACUCUUUCUUCUGAUUAACUGAAUGUCAGGGUGUGGGAAUCUGCCCUAAUUAGACAACAGAGAAGAGCUGCACUCGCAUAUUUACUCAAGAGUGGAUCUUUAAGAAAGACAAAUACCAUAUGGUAUCAUUUAUAUGUGCAAUCCAAAACAUGGCACAAAUGAACCCAUCUACAAAACAGACUCACAGAUAUGGAGAAGAGACGUGUGGUUGCCGAGGGGGAGGGAGAGGCAGUGGGAUGGACUUGGAGUUUGGAGUUAGUAGAUAAAAACUAUUACAUUUAGAAUGGAUAAGCAAUGAGGUCCUACUGAAUAGCACAGGGAACCAUAUCCAAUCUCUUGUGAUAGACCAUGAUGGAAGAUAAUAUAAGAAAGGGAAUAUAAAUAUAUAUACAUAUAUAUGAAUGGGUCAAUUUGCUGUAUAGCAGAAAUUGGCACAACAUUUUAAAUCAACUAUACUUCAAUAAAACUUGAAAAAAAUGGGGAAAAACAUAAAAAAGAAUGGAUCUUUAACUUUUAUGCUUACAAAUGGCUAUCAAAAGUCAAUUAUGGGAAUCAAUAUUCAUAAUGCUAUAGUCAUAAAUUCACCCUCUUAAUUUCCUGACCUUAACCUUUAGCAAAUCAGACCUUUCAUUUGCAGUAAACCCAGACCAAAUUCAACAAGUUGGAUUUCCCAUGGUAUAUAAUGAACCUAUGUUCCGGGAUAUCAUAUGCAACAGUCUAAUAAUAAUGACAGCAGAUAACAGUUUUGAGAGCUUACUAUGUGCCAGGCACUACAUUAAAUGCUCCAUAUGCAUAAUUUUUUUUUAUCUUUUUACGGUUGCACCCGUGGCAUAUGGAAGUUCCCAGGCUAGGGGUUGAAUCGGAGCUGUAGCUGCCAGCCUAUGCCACAGCAAUGCCAGAUCCAAGCCGCGUCUGUGACCUACACCACAGCUCAUGGGGACACUGGAUCUUUAACCCACUGAGCAAGGCCAAGGAUUGAACCCAAAACCUCAUGGAUACUAGUCAGGUUUGUUACCUCUGAACCACAGUGGGAGCUCCCCACAUGCAUAAUCUUACUUGAUUCUUUUAACAAAUCUUUGAGCUAAUUACUAUUACUUCUUGCCACUUUAUGGAUGAGAAAACUGAGACAUAAAGAGGUCGUUACCUAAAGCCACAUAGCCAGGAAGCUGUAAAGCCAGGAUUUAAACCUAGGCAGUCUGAUUCCAGAACUGCUACACUUAACUAGUCUACCAUAUGCCUUCCCUAAAGUAACGAUUUGAUAUACAGUUACAGGGAGCCCCAUACUUCAUACCUGGAUGUAACCUCUGGAAUACCUUCAGUAGCUAACCUGGCACUGAACGACCAAGAUGAAGGACACCUCUGGAAGAAACCAGCAGCCAUCAUCUUUGAGGGGUCCUUUUCUACAGGGAUCCAUACAGCCUGGAAAAGUACAUUCCAGUCAUUGAACCUGACAGCAAAUUCUUUUUUUUUUUUUUUU